UCCCUUACUUGUACAGGGUGAGGAGAAAGAGAAGUUCCUGUCUGAUGUUGAUUCAAUGCUAAAGAUCAAGAAUCACAAGACUUCUUCAGCAACAUCUAAUGAUUGUAAGCUUGAGGUUGUGCCUGCUGCAACUGCUGACUCGAUGGAAAAUUCUGGAAAACAGGCAAUAUGUCAAGAAAGGUAUGUUAAAAAGUAUACUACAGGAAAUUGGUACGAUAAACACAGUGCUUCGCCCUCUUACCAUAAGUUCAGGCGGCCAGACAGUGCAUCGUCCUAUCAAGAGAAGUGUAUGGAAGACUGGAAAAGUGGUUCCCC